GAAUGCUGACAUAAGUAACGAUAAAGCGGGUGAAAAGCCCGCUCGCCGGAAGACCAAGGGUUCCUGUCCAACGUUAAUCGGGGCAGGGUGAGUCGACCCCUAAGGCGAGGCCGAAAGGCGUAGUCGAUGGGAAACAGGUUAAUAUUCCUGUACUUGGUGUUACUGCGAAGGGGGGACGGAGAAGGCUAUGUUGGCCGGGCGACGGUUGUCCCGGUUUAAGCGUGUAGGCUGGUUUUCCAGGCAAAUCCGGAAAAUCAAGGCUGAGGCGUGAUGACGAGGCACUACGGUGCUGAAGCGACAAAUGCCCUGCUUCCAGGAAAAGCCUCUAAGCAUCAGGUAACAUCAAAUCGUACCCCAAACCGACACAGGUGGUCAGGUAGAGAAUACCAAGGCGCUUGAGAGAACUCGGGUGAAGGAACUAGGCAAAAUGGUGCCGUAACUUCGGGAGAAGGCACGCUGAUAUGUAGGUGAAGCGACUUGCUCGUGGAGCUGAAAUCAGUCGAAGAUACCAGCUGGCUGCAACUGUUUAUUAAAAACACAGCACUGUGCAAACACGAAAGUGGACGUAUACGGUGUGACGCCUGCCCGGUGCCGGAAGGUUAAUUGAUGGGGUUAGCGGUAACGCGAAGCUCUUGAUCGAAGCCCCGGUAAACGGCGGCCGUAACUAUAACGGUCCUAAGGUAGCGAAAUUCCUUGUCGGGUAAGUUCCGACCUGCACGAAUGGCGUAAUGAUGGCCAGGCUGUCUCCACCCGAGACUCAGUGAAAUUGAACUCGCUGUGAAGAUGCAGUGUACCCGCGGCAAGACGGAAAGACCCCGUGAACCUUUACUAUAGCUUGACACUGAACAUUGAGCCUUGAUGUGUAGGAUAGGUGGGAGGCUUUGAAGUGUGGACGCCAGUCUGCAUGGAGCCGACCUUGAAAUACCACCCUUUAAUGUUUGAUGUUCUAACGUGGGCCCCUUACCGGGGUUGCGGACAGUGUCUGGUGGGUAGUUUGACUGGGGCGGUCUCCUCCUAAAGAGUAACGGAGGAGCACGAAGGUUGGCUAAUCCUGGUCGGACAUCAGGAGGUUAGUGCAAUGGCAUAAGCCAGCUUGACUGCGAGCGUGACGGCGCGAGCAGGUGCGAAAGCAGGUCAUAGUGAUCCGGUGGUUCUGAAUGGAAGGGCCAUCGCUCAACGGAUAAAAGGUACUCCGGGGAUAACAGGCUGAUACCGCCCAAGAGUUCAUAUCGACGGCGGUGUUUGGCACCUCGAUGUCGGCUCAUCACAUCCUGGGGCUGAAGUAGGUCCCAAGGGUAUGGCUGUUCGCCAUUUAAAGUGGUACGCGAGCUGGGUUUAGAACGUCGUGAGACAGUUCGGUCCCUAUCUGCCGUGGGCGCUGGAGAACUGAGGGGGGCUGCUCCUAGUACGAGAGGACCGGAGUGGACGCAUCACUGGUGUUCGGGUUGUCAUGCCAAUGGCACUGCCCGGUAGCUAAAUGCGGAAGAGAUAAGUGCUGAAAGCAUCUAAGCACGAAACUUGCCCCGAGAUGAGUUCUCCCUGACUCCUUGAGAGUCCUGAAGGAACGUUGAAGACGACGACGUUGAUAGGCCGGGUGUGUAAGCGCAGCGAUGCGUUGAGCUAACCGGUACUAAU
rnacentral:rRNA from 1 species